UUAGCUAGAGAAUCUAAGAGAUUAAAAUUUUGAGAGAGAAAAGGAAGAUAUUUAUGUAUUUUGUUUAAACAAAAAGGAAUUAAUUUGAUUGGUUGGACUAUAAUAUAAUAUAAUAUUUUAUUUUCCUUUUAUUUUUAAAAAGAAAUUAAUUUGAUUGGUUGGACUAUAAUAUAAUAUUUUAUUUUAUUUUCCUUUUAUUUUUUGUCUUUCCUUUUUCUUUUUUUUUCUUUUUUUUUUCUAUUUUUCUCUCUCUUCCCUUUCCCUUCUUCUUCUAGCUGCCAAACCCCUCAUCUCCACCUCUCUCUCUGCAACCAGCACGUCCGCCCAACCGUCGCCGGAUCUGAAGUCGUCCGCACAGCUCUGUUCGUUGUCGCGCCGUCGCUCAACUGAAGAUCUAAAGCCGUUCGUCGGAUCUGAAGCCGUUCGCCGCAGCUCUAUUCCUUCGGGUUACGUUCAACCGACCAUCCGACAACCGCUUCUAAGAUCUGGCCAACGGCCAUCAGUCUUUUCGUUGUUGAACGCUGCCGCUUGGGUUUUCGCUGGAUCUUGAGUUUUGGUGAAUUUGAGGAUAUUAAACCUGAAGGAAAUCGGAUUCGAGAUUUUCAUGAGCAACGGAUAAAAGAUAAUUCCAAAUCACAAUCAUGAAUGAACAAUACAUUUACAGUCGACUUCAAACAAGCGGUUAUAUAAUUCACAGAGAAAUUACAGCAUGAAAAAAACUCAAAUGCACAAAGGGAAAAACUGUAUGAACAAUUGCAGAUGCGUCUCCACGCUCCUUUGCGCACGACCGUUCGAACAACAGUAACUUUGAACGCUUGAUUUACACGACUGCAACACGGCAAUGAACAUAGCACGAACACUUCGCGCUCAUCCUCAACAAUCACCUCGACCACGAACUCCUCAACAACAGCACGAACAGCCUCCACAACACCUCGAUGGUGUCGAGUUGAGUAUGACACCACCAACAAGGCUACCUUGGUAUUCUCGGUGUGAGAAUCCAGAGGGUAGGCUCUGUUCGAACUUGGAAUGAGGUAGACGAAAAAGGAAACACCGAUCGUGUACACGACUGGGCAAGUGGGAGAUGGCGGAGACCUAUCAUAUAGGUCGAUGCCCAAUUGUUUAACUAAAUCUAAGCAAUUGUCUAGCAAAAACUAUGCGAUCGUUUAGCUCAUCGCUUAGCUCGGUCUGUCACCUACAGACUCUACACGAUCGUUUACUUUGGGCAAGCGAUCGUCUAGCAAAAUUAUGUGAUCGUUUAGUAAAUACUGCAUGAUCGUUUAGCUCGCCACUACACGAUUGUUUAGCUCGUCCAGCCGUUGUUUAGUAAAUCCGUAUUUACUUGACGACUACGUGAGUUUCUUUUGUGCGAGAGAGAAAUCUCCAAAACUUUUUAUCAGUUUGUAAAUCUUACUCAAAUUAGGAAAACCAUU